rfam:Triticum aestivum genome assembly, contig: Triticum_aestivum_CS42_TGACv1_scaffold_591899_7BS
AUUCUACUCCCUCCGUUCCACAAUACAUGCCUUCUAUUUGUCAAAAUAUAGAUGUAUCUAGACAUGUUUUAGUAUAUAGGUACAUCCAUUUUUGGAAAAAUGUAAGUCAAGUAUUUUGUAACGGAGGGAGUACACA